rnacentral:rRNA from 1 species
GUCCACGCUGUAAACGAUGAUAACUAGGUGUUGGAGGUAUUGACCCCUUCAGCGCCGCAGCUAACGCAUUAAGUUAUCCGCCUGGGGAGUACGGUCGCAAGACUAAAACUCAAAGGAAUUGACGGGGGCCCGCACAAGCGGUUGAGUAUGUGGUUUAAUUCGACGCAACGCGAAGAACCUUACCUGGGUUAGAAAUCAACUAGAAGGCCUGCAGAGAUGUGGGUCGUCCCCGCAAGGGGACUGGUUGACAGGUGCUGCAUGGCUGUCGU